AAUAUUGGUCAAUGGGCGUAAGCCUGAACCAGCCAUCCCGCGUGAAGGAAGACGGCGCUAUGCGUUGUAAACUUCUUUUCCAGAGGAAUAAAAUUUUGUACGAGUACGGAACUGAAGGUACUCUGGGAAUAAGCAUCGGCUAACUCCGUGCCAGCAGCCGCGGUAAUACGGAGGAUGCGAGCGUUAUCCGGAUUUAUUGGGUUUAAAGGGUGCGUAGGCGGAUUAAUAAGUCAGUGGUGAAAACCUUCAGCUUAACUGGAGAACUGCCAUUGAUACUGUUAGUCUUGAGUACGGUCAAGGUAGGCGGAAUGUGUAAUGUAGCGGUGAAAUGCUUAGAUAUUACACAGAACACCGAUUGCGAAGGCAGCUUACUGGGCCAUUACUGACGCUGAUGCACGAAAGCGUGGGGAGCGAACAGGAUUAGA
rnacentral:rRNA from 1 species